rnacentral:misc_RNA from 1 species
GAAAUGCGAUAAGUAGUGUGAAUUGCAGAAUUCAGUGAAUCAUCGAAUCUUUGAACGCACAUUGCGCCCUUUGGUAGCCCAAAGGGCAUAUCUGUUCGAGUGUCAUUUACCUCUUCAAGCUCUGCUUGGUGUUGGGUGCUUGCCUUGCUAGGCUCACCUUAAAGAGAUGAGUGCUUGCGAAGCCCGUAAGUAGCGGAGUAGAAUCUGCUUCCUGGGGGCUGUUCGGGGCACUGUAAACCUAUUUUCACCUUUUGACCUCGGAUCAGAUAGGGAUACCCGCUGAACUUAA